rnacentral:rRNA from 1 species
AUGGACCUUGGGCGUCUCAACUAUGGGAUAGUUACCCUCAUCCCCAAGGUCCCGGGUGCCUCCGAUAUUCACCAGUUUCGGCCUAUCACUGUGAUCAAUGUGAUAUUCCGGAUCCUGGCCAAAGGGUACGCCAAUAGGGUGAUCCUUCUUGCUGACUCGGUUACCCACCCCAACCAAUCCGCCUUCAUUCAAGGACGAUUUAUUCUGGAUGGGGUGUUGGUCUUCCACGAAGUCUUGCACGAGGUCUGGACCAAACUCCAGCGUGCGGUCUUUCUGAAGCUCGACUUCCACAAAGCAUACGACACGGUCCACUGGCCUUUCCUUCGAGAAGUUCUGCUCCGCAAGGGCUUCGAAGACCGGUGGGUGACCCGAGUUAUGCAACUCGUCUCUUGCGGUCGGACCACUAUGAACAUUAACGGAGAGAUCGGCCCCUACUUCCCCACCCUCUGUGGGGUCCGUCGGGGCGGCCCGUUCUCGCCGUUCUUGUUCAACAUGGUGGUUGAUGCCCUUUCUAUUAUCCUAGAUAAGGCCAAACUGCUGGCCAUAUUCGAGGCAUUAUCCCCCAUCUGGUAG